UUCAGGAGAAAGUGGGACCACGCUUGAGGUGGUCAGAGCAACCUCAAGAGCAGUACAAGUUGAAGGGUCUCCCACCUGGUAUCAUUUAAACCACUGUAUUAAAGCACCAGAGGGGGAAACAGUGUCAGUGACCAAAAAAGAGGAGGAUGAGUGGUCCGGAGAAGAAAAGGACAGUGAUCCUAGUCCUCCUGCUACUGGUGGGGACACUAGAGGUGGUGCAGCGAUGCCUCAGACCACCCGUGUCCUCGAAAGCAGGGGAACAUUUAAAGGGCUCAUAUCAUGCAAAAUCCACUUUUUAGACAUUUUGGAGCGUUCCUAUGACUCUAUGGGUCACAUAUACACACACUGAGCACGGUAGAAAUGCAUUUCCUGCUUUUUUCACAUUUUGAAAACGUAAAUUUUCUCAUCCAAUGGAGAGAGAUAUCUACUGUUCUGAGGCCGUUCCCCAGGUUUCGUCAUUCUGGUUGAAAGUUCUCCCUGCAAAUCCUGAACCACCACCCCCACAAUGAUCCCGAACCAAAACUGGACUUCCGCCAUUUCCCCCCUCUCACUCACCGUGAAAAGACGAACACGGCAGCGUCCAAGUCCUCCCAUAGAAAUAGUUCGGUUCUUAGGUGUUCUAACCAACACCAAAGUCUAUUCACUUUACCAAGGGAUCAACAAGUGAGGAUUUGUGGGUCACUUUUAUUUUUAACGGACCGGUGCCAGAAACACUGCCUCAGCAUUUAUACGUAUGUGCAUUUCAAACAAGGGUGCGUACAAUGCUGGAUUUGUUUCACGGCUCCUGUUGGAAAAAAAGGACCUAUUCCUAAAGUCCGUCAUCCACUCACUGCAGAGGGCAAAUCCCAGUUGCCCACAUGCAAGGAGGCUGUCAAACAGAGAAAUCACUGCAGACUGUUGGUACACGGACAUCUGCUGCCCAGCUCAGGAGUAAAGUACCUUUUGUUUUGAUGAGGUGAUGGUGAGGACAGCCACAGCUUCCAUCUGGUAGAGGACUGCUUCCGCUCAGUCUUCCAAAUAGUGAUGAGAACAAGGAUCACCACAUCUCCCUGUUUACCCUACUUUCAUGCAUUUCGUCUGCAGGGCCCUGCAAAAGCUUCUGACCUCAAACCCCCAGACCUCUUAAUUAACUCAGUAACCUAUACAUUGCACAUUGGAGUGUGAAGGUAACAGUUUGUUCUAGCUUUGGAGUAGUGGUGUAUUUUUUUGGUUUACAAUAAAGUUGGCUUUAACUAUUA